GGUGCAGGCGGUUUGGUCAGUCUGAAGUGAAAUCCCGGGGCUCAACCUCGGACGUGCUUUGGAAACUGCCAAGCUUGAGUACGGGAGAGGAGAGUGGAAUUCCAGGUGUAGCGGUGAAAUGCGUAGAUAUCUGGAGGAACACCGGUGGCGAAAGCGGCUCUCUGGCCCGAUACUGACGCUGAGGCCCGAAAGCGUGGGGAGCGAACA
rnacentral:rRNA from 1 species